rnacentral:rRNA from 12 species
UGCCCUAUAUUGUGAUGGCCCUAGUAAGCGCGGGUAAACGGCGAGUGUAACUAUGUCUCUCUAAAAUUAGCCAAAUGCCUUAUCAUCUAAUUAGUGACGCGCAUGAAU